GAGGGUAUAGCUCAGUGGUAGAGUGCAUGCUUAGCACGCACGAGGUCAUGGGUUUGAGCCCCAGUACCUCUG
rfam:Camelus ferus unplaced genomic scaffold scaffold313, whole genome shotgun sequence.